UACGGAGGGUGCGAGCGUUGUUCGGAAUUAUUGGGCGUAAAGCGCGUGUAGGCGGUUUGUUAAGUCUGAUGUGAAAGCCCCGGGCUCAACCUGGGAAGUGCAUUGGAAACUGGCAGACUUGAGUACGGGAGAGGAGAGUGGAAUUCCCAGUGUAGGAGUGAAAUCCGUAGAUAUUGGGAGGAACACCGGUGGCGAAGGCGGUUCUCUGGGCCUGUUCUGACGCUGAGGAGCGAAAGCGUGGGGAGCAAACAGG
rnacentral:rRNA from 1 species